AUUAAAUAGUUUGUAUUUUUUUAUUUUAACUCUCAACACUGCGUAUUUUUCGGAUCUGUGCUUUCGCAUCUCUGUUCUGAUCUGUUUCCUUCCUGCUGGCUGAGCGCCUUGCCGUCAAUUCAAUUUAUUGUAAUUUGUUGGUUAUGGCGCUGCGACUGCUGCUGCGAGGUUGUCUUCAUCUUAAUUUUCGAAGCAGUCCACUAAUACAUGUCCAGAGCUGUGCGGAAAUGUUUAGUACAGGUAUGCAGGUGAGUUGAAAUUCUAUAUGGUAAGAGGGCUAUCCAGUUGCCGGAUAAUUAUUUACUGAAGUUAUGUGUUGGUUGCAACUGCUUAUCAGUGCAGACCAAAGAUUGUAAAUGUCUUGUAAGUGAUAAAUUGUUACAUUUGUAAAGUAGGCCAGUUGAUGGCAUCAGGGUUGUUUUAUACAAUAUCUUGUAGUUUUGUUUGAAUAAUAAACUUUAAUUUAAUACUUAAA